UACGUAGGGAGCAAGCGUUGUCCGGAAUUACUGGGCGUAAAGGGCUCGUAGGUGGUUGAGUAAGUCAGAUGUGAAAUCUCAGGGCCCAACCCUGAGCGUGCAUUUGAUACUGCUCUGACUAGAGUCCGGUAGGGGAGUGCGGAAUUCCUGGUGUAGCGGUGAAAUGCGCAGAUAUCAGGAGGAACACCGACAGCGAAGGCAGCACUCUGGGCCGGUACUGACACUGAGGAGCGAAAGCAUGGGUAGCAAA
rnacentral:rRNA from 1 species